rnacentral:rRNA from 1 species
UUGGAGGGCAAGUCUGGUGCCAGCAGCCGCGGUAAUUCCAGCUCCAAUAGCGUAUAUUAAAGUUGUUGCAGUUAAAAAGCUCGUAGUUGAACCUUGGGUCUGGCUGGCCGGUCCGCCUCACCGCGAGUACUGGUCCGGCUGGACCUUUCCUUCUGGGGAACCUCAUGGCCUUCACUGGCUGUGGGGGGAACCAGGACUUUACUGUGAAAAACUUAGAGUGUUCAAAGCAGGCCUUUGCUCGAAUACAUUAGCAUGGAAUAAUAGAAUAGGA